UUCUCAAGAUCCAAACAGUGGUUGUUCUUCUUACUCAAACAACCUUCAAACUUUCUUUCACAGAAUCUCGAACAAUUUGUAAAAGAUGUGUUUCCGUCAGCGGGCUGCUCGGAGAUACACCUUUGCCAAGCAGCAAAGGUUAUGAAAACCACACAUCUAAAGUUACCCAAAUCUAAAGUUAUCUCCAAGCUACAUAGGAGAUUGUAUGCCUAUUCAGGGCAAUGUAACUUCAGCGUUCAAGCUUCAGAGGAACACCAAAUGAAAGAUUUUCUGACAAAAAUCAAAUACUGCUGCAAUAAUCUACUCUCAAGCAUGAAAGACCAGAGGAAAUGACUCA